rnacentral:rRNA from 1 species
GACGAACGCUGGCGGCGUGCUUAACACAUGCAAGUCGAACGGAAAGGCCCUGCUUUUGUGGGGUGCUCGAGUGGCGAACGGGUGAGUAACACGUGAGUAACCUGCCCUUGACUUUGGGAUAACUUCUGGAAACUGGGGCUAAUACCGGAUAGGAGCUCCGGCUGCAUGGUGGGGGGCGGAAAGUUUCGGCGGUUGGGGAUGGACUCGCGGCUUAUCAGCUUGUUGGUGGGGUAGUGGCUUACCAAGGCUUUGACGGGUAGCCGGCCUGAGAGGGUGACCGGCCACAUUGGGACUGAGAUACGGCCCAGACUCCUACGGGAGGCAGCAGUGGGGAAUAUUGCACAAUGGGCGGAAGCCUGAUGCAGCAACGCCGCGUGCGGGAUGACGGCCUUCGGGUUGUAAACCGCUUUCGCCUGUGACGAAGCGUGAGUGACGGUAAUGGGUAAAGAAGCACCGGCUAACUACGUG